rnacentral:rRNA from 1 species
AGAACGAACGUUGGCGGCAUGGAUUAGGCAUGCAAGUCGAAUGAAUGCCGGGUAGCAAUAUCUGGCGGAAAUGGCGAAAGGGGCAGUAAUACAUGGACAACCUACCCUGGGGUUGGGCAUAGCCGUUCUAACGGACGGGUAAUUCCCAGCGAUUCGGCGACGUCGGCAUCGACGUUCCGGGAAAGAAUUUCGCCUCGGGAGGGGUUCAUGAGCUAUCAGCUAGUUGGCGGGGUAAUGGCCCACAAGGCGUAGACGGCUAGCGGUGUGAGAGCACGACCCGCGCCACUAGCACUGAGACACUGGCCAGACACCUACGGGUGCUGCAGUCGAGGAUCUUCGUCAAUGGCGCAAGCCUGAACGAGCGAUGCCGCGUGAGCGAUGAA